UACGGAGGAUGCGAGCGUUAUCCGGAUUUAUUGGGUUUAAAGGGUGCGUAGGCGGACGCUUAAGUCAGCGGUAAAAUUGCGGGGCUCAACCUCGUCGAGCCGUUGAAACUGGGUGCCUUGAGUGGGCGAGAAGUACGCGGAAUGCGUGGUGUAGCGGUGAAAUGCAUAGAUAUCACGCAGAACUCCGAUUGCGAAGGCAGCGCACCGGCGCCCUACUGACGCUGAGGCACGAAAGCGUGGGUAUCGAACAGG
rnacentral:rRNA from 1 species